GGGCCAUAGCUCAGUGGCAGAGCACAUGCUUUGCAUGCAAACAGUCCCUGGUUCAAUUCCCAGGCAGGGUUGGCAACU